ACAUGACCACGACCAAACAUCGAAACUCACAGGUCAAAGAGAAACAACGACAUGACCAAGACCAAACAUCGAAACUCACAGGUCAAAGAGAAACAACGACAUGACCACGACCAAACAUCGAAACUCUCAGGUCAAAGAGAAACAACGACAUGACCACGACCAAACAUCGAAACUCACAGGUCAAAGAGAAACAACGACAUGACCACGACCAAACAUCGAAACUCACAGGUCAAAGAGAAACAACGACAUGACCACGACCAAACAUCGACAUGACCACGACCAAACAACGACAUGACCACGACCAAACAUCGACAUGACCACGACCAAACAUCGACAUGACCACGACCAAACAUCGAAAGACGACGAAAAGACAAACUAAUUCAACAAAACUUUACUCAGAAAACUAAAUACUGAUCUUAGGUGCUCCGGAAAGGUUAGUUGAUCCUGCUUCACAAGUGGCACCCGUCAAGUUGCUCGAUUUGUUAACUAUUUCAUGUUUUUUAAAUGAAACUAUAAUCUCAAUUUUCAAGUAGUGUUUAAUUCAAGGCCAACACAUUGGCAGUUCUUGCUCAAUGUUAUAAUGGUUUUGUAAUUGGAAUUAAUCAUUUCUCGAUUUGUAAAUAUGAGCGGAUAUAAACCCCACUUAGUCCAAAUCAAGAAAUGUUAAAUCCUGUUGCAAUCUUCUACCUGUUUUGAAAAAAGGAUAAAUAGAUUUGUUCUUGUUCAGAACUGUUGUUUCCAAUAGCUUAAGAAUAAGCUUUUUUUAUCCAUUUUACUUUUCUUUUAUCCAAAAUAUUUUGUAUAAAUGACUUGAAAUCACCUGUUGCAUUCGGUAUACAAAUAAGUAGUUGUGGUAUGGUUGCCGAUAAGAUCCAACCCAAAUGACGUGGAUGUAAGCAAUUAUAGGUCACCGUACGGUCUUCAACAAUAAGCAAAACUCACACCGGCUUCAUUUCUCUUAUUUAUACUUAAUAGUGUUGCUGUGACGUUUAAAAUUUUAAAAAGGCAUUUUUCAAUUUUAUUUCGUUGAUAAUUUUACUGUGUUGUCACUGUUCCCGCCUUUAGAACUUUUCAGUUCUUGUUUUCGAGGACAUGUUGCUUUUACCUCGCGGAAAUUUUUAUAAGGCAUGCUUAACAAUUUCUAGCAUAUCGACAUUAUUGAUAUCGGUAUAUGUAAUAUCAAGCACAACAAAAACGUAUUACAUUAUGAAAAAGAGACUGUCAAAGAAUCAUGUCCUACUGGGUAUCUCAAACCCAGCAAUCAUCAUAAAUACAUUUAUUUUCUGUUAGUUUUCCGUUCAUUAAAUGCUGGAACCAUUCGAAACACUAAGGUUUAUCUAUCCCAAUUUAUAGAUAACUUUAGCAUGCAUGCAAACGAGGAAAAACUUUUUUUUAAUUGAUUUGGCCUUCCCACUGUUUUGAUUCGAGCGCCACUGAUAAGACUUGUGUAGACGACACCGGCGUCAGGCGUACUUUUAUAUAUUAGGGAGCAACCAUUUAACUUCAAAAAGGGGGGGUUAUGGUUUUUUGUCUGAGUCAGAAUUUUUUUUUUAGUUUUUCGACGCUAUCAAUCAAAUUAUUUUUUCAAAAUAUAACACUAUAAGGUAUGGGGAAAAACUGGAUUCAGAAUAUUUUUUUUGUCAUCUGCUUGACCACAAUAUUCUUUUUCAUCAAAUUGGGGAUCAGAAUAUUUUUUUAGGAAAAAACCAUAACCCCCCACCCCAUUUGAAGUUUAAUGGUUUUGUGAAGUUUUUAGCCUCCUUGUGCCCUCAAUAUAUCGUAAAGUAGAAUUUGCUGAAAAGGAUUUAUUUUAAAAAAAUAAGUAUAAAAUGCUAAUUCAAUAUGUAACAGUCUAUGAAACUUUACCAUCUGUAAACCAAACAAACGGUAAAACAAAACUACUACUAUGAAAAAAAAAGUCCGAGUGUCCGUGCUUGGACGAGCUGCAGUUCACUCCAAUUUAGAUCGGAUAGAUUUGGGAGUAUCAAGAUUUUAGGACUUCAAGUUAAAAUGAAAUCGACAUUCAUGUUAUCAUUUCACACCUCGAUGUCCGAAAAACUGUUUUAUCAGAAUGAAAAUCUAUGGGUAAUGAAAAGAUAAACAAUUAAGUUGUCCAGUUUAUCAAAUUUCACCUUUUUUAGAACGGGACUGACCUUAGAUGAAUUGUCAACAAGAAAGGUCUGACCAGGUCACUUGCUUGGUCAAAAUAUUUUAAAGCAAUUUGUCUUUGUGUAAAACACCAGUUUUAUAAAUACUAUUGAAAUAAUUGGAUAGUAAAAGAGAAAUAUAUCUCUUUAAAAUGCAUGUGGUCAUUUUAUGGUCAUCUGGACCAUGAAUUGUCCGGAGCUUGGUGUCAAGCUAAGGCCAUCGUCGGACAAUGAAAUAUAAUUUAGUAUGAAUUUGAAUUGAAGUACAUUGCUGGAUGUAAAAUAGGUGUCUUUGUAUAAAAAUUUAUAUGUGGGAAACUAGUUGACCCUAAGGUCGUGACAUCGAGUGGCCAGCGAAAAUAAUGACCAGUACUGAUGUCCAGCAGGGGUCAGGGAAAGGCUUAAGGAUGCUUUUGAUUGGGGAUGAUAAUAUUUUAAUGAGUCACGGCAAAAUUUUAAUCUAUUACAGGUGUAUUCAUAAAAUUCUGACAAUCAAUUAUUUCUUAAAAACUUUUGAAAAUCCUGAGAAAAUUUAAAAUCAAACAAUGAGUCGGCUUCAAAGUCAAAUUUGAUUAUUAUGUGGUUUCGAUGAUACAAAAGAUGGGAAAAGAUGAUCAUUUAUUGCUGUGGAAAUAUCUUCAUAAAACUUUAACGAUGUUCUUAAUAUCUACCGCAUAGGAAAGAAAAACAAUUUUGAGUAAAAAAGAUGAGCUAAUGUGUGUUUUGUAUUCGAGCUUUCAGAACUAACAUAGACUUGUAUUGUGUAUUCAUCCUCUUUCAAAAAAAAUAUAGUAAAAUGAUGAUUUACUUGCAAAACUAUUAUAUUAAUAGAAAAAAAAAAAAUUCAAAAGAAAUUAGGUUUAGAAAAGAUAUAAUAAAUGAAUUAAAAAAAAAAACAAACAAAAAACGGAAACCAUUCAUAUUUCUAUGUAACAAAAUGGUGUUAUGGUCUUAAGUAUUUUGGUUUCAUCAGAGACAUAUAUAUGGAUCCAUAACAAGAAAAGAUAGAAAACAGAAAAGAAAAAGGUUUAGCCGCAGACAUACGCAACAUAUACAUAAAUAAUAGCGAGUAGGAAUUCAAUUUGGCUGUUCAUUUUGGUGAUGGUAAUCGAUUGUAUUAAAAUACCUUUAACCUGUUAACAUCGUUUUGAAAUUACUUUCAUCCUUUUGAUUUGUCAUGUUGGUAUUGUACUGGUCAGACAGAGGUGAUGUUAAGAUUCACUGUCCAAAGCUUGCAAUAGCACACCAGUAGUCACAGCGCUAUUGUAUAAAAAUGUCUUUCUUUAUAACUUACAGAAUAUCUCAGCGUUCUCCAUUUUCACUUGCAAUUCUUCAAUUGUUAUAAGUGCAUGUGUGAUCGGUAAGGAUACAAAACUUCGCCGAAUUAUUUGACAAAAAUCUGUAACAUUCUCACGCGUUUAAGGGAUAUUUUUCUCAAAACCAUGCAUUUUAGUUUUAAAAAUAAAGCCACCCCAAUUUUUUUUUUUUUUAAUGUAUCAACAAAUUAAAGUAAAAAGUUAUAUCCAUGAAGGAUAGCAGUUAUAUGUAUCUAUCUCAAAUCAGGAAAUUAUAGUAGGUUGAAAAAAAUGGUAAAUGUUACUUUAAUAAUAACAUAAUCCAGAUAAUUUACCAUCAUGCAAAAUUUACUGAAAAUUUAGAGUAUUUAAGAUCUGAGUCGCAAAUGUUUUUCAUUAAUGAAUUUACUCAAGUUAGAUUUAAAACUCAUAGACAUAUCAAGUUGUAAUGAAAUACACACGGUGCUGAAAUUCAAUUUUAACAUUUUAUUACUUAGAGUGUUAUAAAACGAUUAAAAUGAUAUAUUUCUGU